CCUUCAUGGUACUGGAAUUAAAAAAUCGGUCUGUGUGUGGUGUUAAUGUAUUUAGCAGCAUGAUUGAUAUAACAGAGUCUCGGUGAGGCGGACCAGGAGAGCACUCUCUCAAAAGGCCAACCUGGAGGAGCGCGUUCCACGUCUAGUAGCCGGCGGAAAUCACUCUGAAUUGGAAGACACUCUUUGGAACUUGACUGAAGACAAAAGGCGCCUGGCAGAUGUGGGUUGGAUGCUUAAAUUGGGCUCCAGGAGAGAAUGGGAGAGGAAUCUUCUGUGUCUCCAAGCAAAGAUGUAAAGAAGACAGAAACUGUUUUGGUCAUAAGGGAGGAGCUACAGACCUUGAACUUCUUGCUCCCAGGGGAUCUAUACCAGCCUGGAGUUUGUAUGUGGUUUCGUCGUAGACAUUUCGUUGUGGGCUGUCCAGUGAUGCCCAGGAACAAGGCUACUCAUGCAUUGAGGUACCAUGCCUUAUUUAGAUGAGUCAUGGGAUAAUUUUUUGAGACCUCUGAGUUAAUCUUGAGUUAGUACCUGAAAACAGAAAGAAUCAUAAAGAAGAGAGCAUUGGUCGUGAAGUCAGAAAAUCAAGUUUAAUGGCUUUGCCAUUUCUAGCUAUAUGUCUUGGGGUGAGUCACUUAGACUGUCUCUAUUUCAUCCAUAUGCCUACCAGAGUUUAUGUGAAGUUCAAGUAUAAUACAUACAUAAACAGUAUUAUAUAUAUGUAUGUAUAUAUAUAGUAUAUAAUAUUUAGUGUAUACAUCAUAUAGUAUUCAUUAUA
rnacentral:lncRNA from 1 species